GACGAACGCUGGCGGCGUGCUUAACACAUGCAAGUCGAACGGAAAGGCCCUGCUUUUGUGAGGUGCUCGAGUGGCGAACGGGUGAGUAACACGUGAGUAACCUGCCCUUGACUUUGGGAUAACUUCAGGAAACUGGGGCUAAUACCGGAUAGGAGCUCCUGCUGCAUGGUGGGGGUUGGAAAGUUUCGGCGGUUGGGGAUGGACUCGCGGCUUAUCAGCUUGUUGGUGGGGUAGUGGCUUACCAAGGCUUUGACGGGUAGCCGGCCUGAGAGGGUGACCGGCCACAUUGGGACUGAGAUACGGCCCAGACUCCUACGGGAGGCAGCAGUGGGGAAUAUUGCACAAUGGGUGGAAGCCUGAUGCAGCAACGCCGCGUGCGGGAUGACGGCCUUCGGGUUGUAAACCGCUUUCGCCUGUGACGAAGCGUGAGUGACGGUAAUGGGUAAAGAAGCACCGGCUAACUACGUG
rnacentral:rRNA from 1 species